rnacentral:misc_RNA from 1 species
CUUUACAAGCAUCAUUGCUACAGC